rnacentral:rRNA from 1 species
UACGUAGGGUGCAAGCGUUGUCCGGAAUCAUUGGGCGUAAAGGGCUCGUAGGCGGCCAACUAAGUCAGACGUGAAAUCCCUCGGCUUAACCGGGGAACUGCGUCUGAUACUGGAUGGCUUGAGUUCGGGAGAGGGAUGCGGAAUUCCAGGUGUAGCGGUGAAAUGCGUAGAUAUCUGGAGGAACACCGGUGGCGAAGGCGGCAUCCUGGACCGAUACUGACGCUGAGGAGCGAAAGCCAGGGGAGCAAACGGG